rnacentral:lncRNA from 10 species
CGGCAGGGAGGCCCCUAGGGUGUGGCAGGGCGGGUCUACGGAGGCCUCUUUAGGCCACAGAGCAACGUAAAGCCUAGGCCUGCAGAGACUGCUCAGUCACAGUUGAAGGAGACCUACUGAGUCCUGAGGACAACCAACAAAGGCCUUAACGGCACAGAAGCAUCUACAUGGUAUUCAUAAGGAUGCAGCACUAAUUGUUUAA